rnacentral:rRNA from 1 species
GGCGAACGGGUGAGUAACGCGUGACCGACCUUCCCCCCGCACCGGGACAACCGCGGGAAACCGCGGCUGAUACCGGGUACUCCGGGGCCCCCGCAUGGGGGCCCCGGGAAAGCUCCGGCGGCGGGGGAUGGGGUCGCGUCCCAUCAGGUAGUAGGCGGGGCAACGGCCCACCUAGCCGACGACGGGUAGCCGGGUUGAGAGACCGACCGGCCACAUUGGGACUGAGAUACGGCCCAGACUCCUACGGGAGGCAGCAGUGGGGAAUUUUGCGCAAUGGGGGCAACCCUGACGCAGCAACGCCGCGUGCGGGACGACGGCCUUCGGGUUGUAAACCGCUUUCAGCAGGGAAGAACCUAUGACGGUACCUGCAGAAGAAGCCCCGGCUAACUACGUGCCAGCAGCCGCGGUAAUACGUAGGGGGCGAGCGUUAUCCGGAAUGAUUGGGCGUAAAGCGCGCGCAGGCGGCCGCUCAAGCGGGACCUCUAACCCCGGGGCUCAACCCCGGGCCGGGUCCCGAACUGGGCGGCUCGAGUGCGGUAGGGGAGAGCGGAAUUCCAAGUGUAGCGGUGAAAUGCGCAGAUAUUUGGAAGAACACCGAUGGCGAAGGCAGCUCUCUGGGCCGUCACUGACGCUGAGGCGCGAAAGCCGGGGGAGCGAACAGGAUUAGAUACCCUGGUAGCCCCAGCCGUAAACGAUGGGCGCUAGGUGUGGGGGGACAU